GACGAACGCUGGCGGCGCGCCUAACACAUGCAAGUCGAACGAGCGAGAGAGAGCUUGCUUUCUCGAGCGAGUGGCGAACGGGUGAGUAACGCGUGAGGAACCUGCCUCAAAGAGGGGGACAACAGUUGGAAACGACUGCUAAUACCGCAUAAGCCCACGGGUCGGCAUCGACCAGAGGGAAAAGGAGCAAUCCGCUUUGAGAUGGCCUCGCGUCCGAUUAGCUGGUUGGUGAGGUAAUGGCCCACCAAGGCGACGAUCGGUAGCCGGACUGAGAGGUUGAACGGCCACAUUGGGACUGAGACACGGCCCAGACUCCUACGGGAGGCAGCAGUGGGGAAUAUUGCACAAUGGGGGAAACCCUGAUGCAGCGACGCCGCGUGGAGGAAGAAGGUCUUCGGAUUGUAAACUCCUGUUGUUGGGGAAGAUAAUGACGGUACC
rnacentral:rRNA from 1 species